rnacentral:rRNA from 1 species
GACGAACGCUGGCGGCGUGCUUAACACAUGCAAGUCGAACGAACAGGCCCUGCGUUUGUGGGGUGCUCGAGUGGCGAACGGGUGAGUAACACGUGAGGAACCUGCCCUUGACUUUGGGAGAACUUCAGGAAACUGGGGCUAAUACCGGGUAGGAGCUCCUGCUGCAUGGUGGGGGUUGGAAAGUGUCGGCGGUUGGGGAUGGAAUGGCGGCUUAUCAGCUUGUUGGUGGGGUAGGGGCUGACCAAGGCUUCGACGGAUAGCCGGCCUGAGAGGGUGACCGGCCACAUUGGGACUGAGAUACGGACCAGACUCCUACGGGAGGCAGCAGUGGGGAAUAUUGCACAAUGGGCGGAAGCCUGAUGCAGCAACGCCGCGUGCGGGAUGACGGCCUUCGGGUUGUAAACCGCUUUCGCCUGUGACGAAGCGUGAGUGACGGUAAUGGGUAAAGAAGCACCGGCUAACUACGUG